rnacentral:lncRNA from 1 species
UAGGACCACUGGGCCUACAUUCCCACGUGGCAGCCAUUGGCUGGAGUUGAGCAAUAGCCACCUCCUGUAGACAGAAACGUGAUCUCAGAGCACUGCAGUCUUCACCACUCCCUUUUGCAUCCCAUCUGACCUGCUGCAUCCACUGAUUCACCCUCCACCUUCUCAUUUUAAAGAAAACAAAAAUGAUGCGAGGACUUGCCAGCUGUUGUAGACUGAUAGAACAUCAUUGAAAUCUAAUGACUUUCAUCUUCAAAGAAACUGUUUGGAGCUAGUGCUCCAUCCCCACCCCUGCUGGUUUAAUUACAGCACUUCAUACAUUUCGCAUUCUGAAGAUAAACACCCUCUCUCUCUCUUUCUCUUUCUCUCACUUUUUCUCCCCUUCUUCUUACCCUUGGAACCC